rnacentral:rRNA from 1 species
GACGAACCGUGCGAACGUUAUUCGGAAUCACUGGGCUUAAAGAGCGCGUAGGCGGCGUCGUAAGUUGGAGGUGAAAUCCCAUCGGCUCAACCGUGGAACUGCCCCCAAUACUGCGAUGCUUGAGAGAGGUAGGGGCAUGUGGAACUUCCAGUGGAGCGGUGAAAUGUGUUGAGAUUGGAAGGAACGCCAGUGGCGAAAGCGGCAUGCUGGAUCUCUACUGACGCUGAGGCGCGAAAGCUAGGGGAGCGAACGGG